CGACCGGCGCACGGGUGAGUAACGCGUAUCCAACCUGCCCACCACUUGGGAUAACCUUGCGAAAGUAAGACUAAUACCCAAUGAUAUCUCUAGAAGACAUCUGAAAGAGAUUAAAGAUUUAUCGGUGAUGGAUGGGGAUGCGUCUGAUUAGCUUGUUGGCGGGGUAACGGCCCACCAAGGCGACGAUCAGUAGGGGUUCUGAGAGGAAGGUCCCCCACAUUGGAACUGAGGCACGGUCCAA
rnacentral:rRNA from 1 species